GAUGAACGCUGGCGGCGUCCCUAAUACAUGCAAGUCGAGCGAACAGACGAGGAGCUUGCUCCUCUGACGUUAGCGGCGGACGGGUGAGUAACACGUGGAUAACCUACCUAUAAGACUGGGAUAACUUCGGGAAACCGGAGCUAAUACCGGAUAAUAUAUUGAACCGCAUGGUUCAAUAGUGAAAGACGGUUUUGCUGUCACUUAUAGAUGGAUCCGCGCCGCAUUAGCUAGUUGGUAAGGUAACGGCUUACCAAGGCAACGAUGCGUAGCCGACCUGAGAGGGUGAUCGGCCACACUGGAACUGAGACACGGUCCAGACUCCUACGGGAGGCGGCAGUAGGGAAUCUUCCGCAAUGGGCGAAAGCCUGACGGAGCAACGCCGCGUGAGUGAUGAAGGUCUUCGGAUCGUAAAACUCUGUUAUUAGGGAAGAACAAAUGUGUAAGUAACUAUGCACGUCUUGACGGUACCUAAUCAGAAAGCCACGGCUAACUACGUG
rnacentral:rRNA from 1 species